rnacentral:rRNA from 1 species
GCUCAGGGUGUCGAGGUUGUCGUGCUCCAAUCGGGUUCAUCUGGUGGUGUAACCGCUGCCGGUGCAUUUCCGGUUGGAGUUGGACCGUCAGUCGGGAAGAGACUGGGGUCUGCUUAUCGGCCACGGGGAGGUGGGCAGUGGGUUGGCCUCGGUCUCCCAUUGUCACAUAUAGCCCAUGGUCGUGGCCUCAGUUGUCUUUCAGGUGUGUUGGAUGGCUAAUCGUCCAUAAUGGGUAGGUGCAGCCUCUCCUUGUGGGAGAUCGGGCCUGCUUCAUGGUUGCUGGACGUUGUGAUGCGUGUGUUCCGUGCUUUCGCCGUUUGAUUCGUUCGGCGGUGUGAGGUACGGCACUGUGUGCAACGGUCUUGUCCCAUGUUGUAGUGUUCAUGUACUGUGCCAAGGUGACUGGCGAAGAGUCGUUACUCUGUGC